rnacentral:lncRNA from 1 species
CACAUGCAGCUUGAGCUGUGAGAGAGUCUGGUUUUGUGGGCUAAGCCAACAGGGAAGCACUUGCCAUGGUCCCACUCCACAGACAGGAAUUCUUAGGCUCUAAGAGGUGCCUUGAGCCUGCACAGGCACAAGCAGGACCAGGGGCUUGAUCUCAGUGAUGUCACCAGGUGAAAGACUUCCUCGACUGCUUCCUGUCUUUCUAAAGUGCAUUUCCACUUAAAGAGGUCUCAGGCCGUGAUUGGGUGAUUCCAUUGCUGUGUGCCUGCUUGAGUUGAGCACCACGGGAGGGGGCAUGCGCAAGACGCUAGAUUGAAGACGUUCACUUCGCAGUGGACCAGAAGCAAACACAAACAAAAAUCGGUACUGGGGUCCCACUUUUCAAUGCCAGUUGUGAAUCCAUCAGAGAGUU